rnacentral:lncRNA from 1 species
CCCGCCGCCUUCUUUGCGCCCGCACCUCUGUGCGACCACCUUCUCUUACCUUUCCGUUUCUCUCCGCACGACUUGUCUUCCCACCUCUGCGCACGACCUCCUCCUUUCCGUUUCUGCCUCUUUCCCAUUCCUUUCCAUUUCCGCCCGCACGACCGCCUCCUCUGCCUCUCCGUCGUCCGAUCUCCAGCACCGCUUAAAGCUUCUUCUCCAGAAUC